AGCCUUCACAUCUUCCCAGCUGAGGCCUCACACAUCUCGAGGCAGACGCAGCUACCCUUUCCUGGAGUUGCUGUUUAGUUGCUCUUUCGCUUCUGAUCUUUGCAGCCCCGUGGACUGUAACCCUCCAGGUUCCUCAGUCCAUACGAUUUCCCAGGCAAGAAUAUUGGGGUGGGUUGCCAUUUCCUUUUUCAGGUUUUUUUUUUUUUUCCUGAUGCUGGGAUCAAACCCACGUGUCCUGCAUUGGCAGGCGGGUUCUUUACAGCUGAGCCACCAGGGAAGGCCCACAGCUAUCCCUACUGUGUUGCAUCUGAAUUGCUAACCCACAAAAUCUGUUAGCAUGACAAGAUUAUUGUUUUAAGCUGUUGAGUUUGGGGCUCAUUUGUUUGGCAGCAGUGGUGCCUGGGGUAGAAAUGUAGGAUUUGGAAUCAGGGUGCUACCCAUGACCAAAACCUAACACAGCCAGCAUGGGUCUCAGGACCAACACAGAGCAGAAGCUGGAAAGGCCAGUGAGGAGACUAUUAGUGUAAUACUAUUAGUGUAUACAAAGUCCCUUGAGAAGUUAUUAUUGUAGGCGGGAGACCGGUAGGAUAUUAUUAGUGGACUGAAAAAAGCAGUAUUCCCAAUAGCCAAGACGUGGAGACGACCUGGAUGUCCAUCGACAGGUCUGACCUAGGACUCAGGACCUCACCCUCUGCCUGAAAAGGGCUCUUCCUUGAAUUCCCUUCUUCUUCACUUAUCUCCAGGCUCCACAGACUCUGAGGAUCUAGCAAAGAUGUUAGGACCUACAAGUGAAUGAGAAAACUGUUUUUAAAAGCCUCCAACAUACACUUGUCCUUAAUCCUUAAAGCCUGCGUUGGUCACUGGUAUUAGAAACAUGGAGGACACUCUUGUAGAAAUUUCUGUGUAAAUGUAAAGUGGUAUCGUUAUCAUUGUAGAAUGUUUUGGAAGGGAGAGCAUUAUACAGGAAGGACCAAGAAAACUGAACCAUGAGCAACGGAUGUUGUCACCUUCUGGGCAUCCUUAACUUAACCAGAUAAUUAUUCUCAGGCUCAGAAACCUCUGGGACAAGAAGCCAUGGCUAUAAGCCAAGAGAGAAAAAAUUGGAUAUUUCCUUGAUACCCAUUUAAGAGAGGAAAACCAGUUAGAGAGUAGAUCAUUUAAGUAAAGGAAAUGAGAAAGCACCACCAAGUCAGUGUCCAGUUAUUCAAUAGGAUAACAGUAUAAAUCAUGCAAUAAAUGUAGUCUCUUGCUUAACCCCAAAGUUUUAGGAAUUGUCUCAUUAAGUUUUCAGCAGUAAAGAAUUAGAGAAGUGAGUGAAUCUAUGCCUCCCACUUCCGUUCUUCUCCCAGAUGAGAAAAUGGUGGUGGCCUAGAGGGGCUAUGAGAUUU
ensembl:lncRNA